rnacentral:rRNA from 1 species
GACGGUAUUUAACCAGAAAGUCACGGCUAACUACGUGCCAGCAGCCGCGGUAAUACGUAGGUGGCAAGCGUUAUCCGGAUUUAUUGGGCGUAAAGAGAGUGCAGGCGGUUUUCUAAGUCUGAUGUGAAAGCCUUCGGCUUAACCGGAGAAGUGCAUCGGAAACUGGAUAACUUGAGUGCAGAAGAGGGUAGUGGAACUCCAUGUGUAGCGGUGGAAUGCGUAGAUAUAUGGAAGAACACCAGUGGCGAAGGCGGCUACCUGGUCUGCAACUGACGCUGAGACUCGAAAGCAUGGGUAGCGAACAGGAUUAGAUACCCUGGUAGUCCAUGCCGUAAACGAUGAGUGCUAGGUGUUGGAGGGUUUCCGCCCUUCAGUGCCGGAGCUAACGCAUUAAGCACUCCGCCUGGGGAGUACGACCGCAAGGUUGAAACUCAAAGGAAUUGACGGGGGCCCGCACAAGCGGUGGAGCAUGUGGUUUAAUUCGAAGCUACGCGAAGAACCUUACCAGGUCUUGACAUCUUGCGCCAACCCUAGAGAUAGGGCGUUUCCUUCGGGAACGCAAUGACAGGUGGUGCAUGGUCGUCGUCAGCUCGUGUCGUGAGAUGUUGGGUUAAGUCCCGCAACGAGCGCAACCCUUGUUACUAGUUGCCAGCAUUAAGUUGGGCACUCUAGUGAGACUGCCGGUGACAAACCGGAGGAAGGUGGGGACGACGUCAGAUCAUCAUGCCCCUUAUGACCUGGGCUACACACGUGCUACAAUGGACGGUACAACGAGUCGCGAACUCGCGAGGGCAAGCAAAUCUCUUAAAACCGUUCUCAGUUCGGACUGCAGGCUGCAACUCGCCUGCACGAAGUCGGAAUCGCUAGUAAUCGCGGAUCAGCAUGCCGCGGUGAAUACGUUCCCGGGCCUUGUACACACCGCCCGUCACACCAUGAGAGUUUGUAACACCCAAAGUCGGUGGGGUAACCUUUAGGAGCCAGCCGCCUAAGUGAACAAUCU